UCAAUCCCGCUAUUUGACAGUGACGACGAAAUAAUUUUGUUAGAAGCGCGUUUUCAGGGGCAUUCGAAUACGUCGAGUAGGAAGUGAUCAACGGACCUGGCGGCUGCGUUUCAUUGGUCGAUGAUACGGAAGAUAUGGGACCGCAGUAUUAUUGUCACAGUGCGUAUGACACAUAGUAGAAACAUCUGCAGUUUGGAACUGUCGAAUUUAUGCGACGAUGAGUCUUCGGUAUAGACCUUGUUUUGCGUAUGUUUGCGGCGAAAGGAUUGUUGGAAUAAACAUCGAUAAACAAUUGGCUCUCUAUCCUACAGAGGAAUGCCAAAAGGAUUUUGACCUUCAGAGUGAUCAAAACGUUAUUGAACGAACCAGCUAGAAACCUGCAGCCGAAGUAAAAGUCCGACGAUGAAAGGUUCAGUGCUCUCGGUCUUUACCCCCGAACGAGUGCUUGCCUUGAACGGCUCUGGGACAUCUCACGACUUCAUUCGUGCUUCCAUUGGGAUCUACAAAUAAAUGUGAAAGAAAGGAGGCGCCUAGACCACAACCAGGACCGAAGGCCAUGUAAACGCUUCGAGCAUCACUGUAUUCACUCGAUAUUGUACGGCGUAGCAUUGGUGCGACUGGUGUUUUGACCAUAGCACAGGCAUCUCGAUUUACAUCACCACAACACGGUAUUAAGUGUGACGACACCUCCGGAAUCUACAACGCUUAGAGGUUGCGGUACGUUACCAUGACCGCUGUCCUCCAAGUCAGGUCAAACCAGCCUCAGUACUACCAACAUUACCCGUAUCCCUUUGACAACCGUCAUGAUCAUGGUUCUCGACUCGCUCGUCGUAACUGCUUGAUUGGCCUUAACUAGCCAGCUAAAAAUACCUCCCUCUCCCGGCAGCAUAUCUGUCCACCCACCCUUUUUUUCUUCCGACGCCGUUCACUUCACAGUUGCCCCAUCAUCUCAUCUUCUCGUGUCCCAUUCUAUUUGACCGAUCAGCCACGCGGUCCGCUGUGGCAAACGAGUAAGAACUGAUCCCGCGCUUCACGCUGGGCCCUUCACGCUUUGAUAGUUCUGGUUUCUAAGGAGGUGUCUCUCUCUUCCGCAUAAACUGCACCUAAAACCGGUUUCAUUGGUUGUCCACAGCAUGAGAGCAAGAUAGGAAAGGCGGCUCUAGGAGGUUGUGAAAUGGGGGUCCUAGAAGGCCAAUGCCUAAUACCAAGCUUCGUUCGUUGACUGUCGUUUCAUGACCACUCGCGUUACCUUCAGUUGGUUGUGAGCGGGGGUCUGUCGCCUCUGUUCCUGUUUUGCCAUGUUUUAUUUCUUUUUCUGUACUGCCACCAGUCGAUCAGUUACCAUGAGCAUGCUAUGUAAGUGGGUACAUGGCGAAACGGGAUAGGAAAAAAGCGAACGUCGGAUGGCCAAAUAGGCAAACAAAAUCGGCCAAUGACGAGAGUACAAUCCUCUACGUGCUUUGCUGUCAUAUAUAUUUGGACUCGUAACGUGUAUACAUAUAUAUAUGCGAACAAAACCAGUAGUGGCAUGAUAAGGCGUCAAGCUAUAUGGAUGCGUCAUAGCUGAAUGGCUUAGCCGAAACAAGCUUGAUAGCUUAAACCUCCAUCGUUCGUUCGACUCGCAAAUACUGCUACUACUACUACUACGACCACAACAAGUGUAGUUGGAACAAAAGUGACAUCGUAAAAUAUUGGAGGGUGACGGGCUGUACUUACGGAUGCACUGCUAGAAGACGAAAAGAAACGAGAAUAGAGGAAGGGGAAACGGAUGAAGAAAGAAAUGGACGUGUGUAAAGGUUGGUGCUGGCCAACAGGUGAACCUUAGCUCAAUCAAAGCCUUUUUUCGGACCGCAGAAGAAAGCUAAGAGAAUUACGAGCUGGUCGUUACAAUUACUGCAGCCUCUAUCGCAUUGCUCGUCCUGCCAUAGCAGCUUCGCCUGCUGCGAUUGAAGCUCUAACUUGAUCGCGCGUGUUAGAAUGACGCAGGAUGAGAAAGGACGCUUGAGAACGUUUUCCUGGAGAUGGAGAAAGAGUUCCUGUUCGUGCUAUAGCAUUGACUGGAACGUUGUCGUUCGCCAGACAAGAUCUGCUAACAUUCAUCUGAUUGUCUAUUGUGAACGCACGUCCGCCAAACUUCGUCGCCGUGGAAAAGUCUCGACAGAAGAGAAAAAAAUAAACGAAAAUUAGGAACGAAAGACGAACAGAUAAAAAAAAAAAAGGCAAGAUCUGAAGUCUGAACCACGGAAGCGGUACUUAUUGUGGUACGGAUUCGAGAAUAAAGGACAGAUUAGGAUGUUAGCUGUGCCCGUGCAAACAAAUUGUUGGAACAGUCUCAGCAAUAUUCCGUUACAAAUUAUGUUUAUAUCCUAAUUUGUUAUUGGAGUGCAUAGUUUUAUUGUGAUCUUCGCCAAUUUUCAUAAUAGUCAGUAGAUUCUGGAGGCUCAUCAGCCGUUUACCCGAAUGCAAAAUAACCCCAGAUAAGCAGCAUACAAAGAAUUCUCGAGAAGGUUACGAGAAGUAACGAAGCAUGUCAAGGAAGCGGUUAAUUAAGUCGACUUUUUUCUUUCAACAGUCGCUUUAUGGCCAUAGUCAAUGAAAAUGGUAAUAUUUCAUAAUUAGGAGAAUAGUAAAAUCAGGCCACUCUAACACUCCAACGAGGCCUGGAAUCAAGCCGAUGUAAAAAGAAAUAUCCGCCUUCAAAAUAAACUCGCUUAUUUAUCGCGACACUCAGCGUCCUUUAUCGCCCCAGACGUCCUUGUUAUCAAAAUAAAAUUUCGUUUAACGUCAACGUCGAGAUGCGCUCCCCCGUUUCGAGAAGCUGGCUGAAGGUUUCCCGCGGUCGUGCUGUGAAAUCUGAAGCCAUUGAUAAUCCGAACACAAAAAGCACAAGAUGGGACAAUUUGAGAUGAGCCUGAACUAGGGCAAAAAAAACUUUUUCAAUCAUUGCUGUUCCCUUCAAGACAGUCGCUUCUAGAUAAACCUAUUUUCGACCAUCAAGCUCACAUAGAACUCGUUUCGUAUUUGUAGUUCUUCAAAUCCGAGCAGUACGAAAAAACUUUGACACUCAUCACGAAGACUACUAAAAUAAGCUAUUCCAAAUGAUGGGAAAAGCCAGAGAACUGAAAAUGGCGAGAAAAAUCAAAAUUAAUUUAAUAUUAAAAAACUUACAGUAUCGCGACACA
rnacentral:lncRNA from 1 species